AGAACCAGUCCUUCGGGACUGGGGACAGCGGCGAACGGGUUGAGUAACACGUGGGUAAUCUGCCCUCGAUUCUGGGAUAGCCCGGGGAAACCCGGAUUAAUACCGGAUAGCCUCUCGAGCUUACGAGCUCGUGAGAAAAGGUGGCUUCGGCCUCCGAUCGAGGAUGAGCCCGCGGCGGAUUAGCUUGUUGGUGAGGUAAUGGCUCACCAAGGCGACGAUCCGUAGCUGGUCUGAGAGGACGAUCAGCCACACUGGGACUGAGACACGGCCCAGACUCCUACGGGAGGCAGCAGUGGGGAAUCUUGCGCAAUGGGCGAAAGCCUGACGCAGCGACGCCGCGUGGGGGAAGAAGGCCUUCGGGUUGUAAACCUCUUUCAGCAGGGACGAAGCCACUCGGGUGAAUAGCCCAGAGGGUGACGGUACCUGCAGAAGAAGCCCCGGCUAACUACGUGCCAGCAGCCGCGGUAAUACGUAGGGGGCAAGCGUUGUCCGGAUUUAUUGGGCGUAAAGAGCGUGUAGGCGGCCAGACAGGUCCGUUGUGAAAACUAGAGGCUUAACCUCUAGACGUCGAUGGAAACCGUCUGGCUAGAGUCCGGAAGAGGAGAAUGGAAUUCCUGGUGUAGCGGUGAAAUGCGCAGAUAUCAGGAAGAACACCCGUGGCUAAGGCGGUUCUCUAGUACGGUACUGACGCUGAGACGCGAAAGCGUGGGGAGCGAACAGGAUUAGAUACCCUGGUAGUCCACGCCGUAAACGAUGGGUGCUAGUUUUU
rnacentral:rRNA from 1 species